rnacentral:rRNA from 1 species
UACGUAGGGGGCAAGCGUUGUCCGGAAUCAUUGGGCGUAAAGCGCGUGUAGGCGGCCUUGUAAGUCCGUUCUGAAAGUCCGGGGCUCAACCCCGGGAGGCGGAUGGAUACUGCAAGGCUCGAGUACGGAAGAGGCGAGUGGAAUUCCUGGUGUAGCGGUGAAAUGCGCAGAUAUCGGGAGGAACACCAAUGGCGAAGGCAGCUCGCUGGGACGUUACUGACGCUGAGACGCGAAAGCGUGGGGAGCAAACAGG